UGUUCCCUCCCUCCAACCACGCUUGUUCUCUCCUGCCCCACACUGGAUCCGUCACACAAUACCACAGUGCCGUUAGCCACACCUCAAUAGCAGGAUAGUGAGCGGGGACAAAGAUAGAAAAAACAUUGUUUUAUCGCGUACCACAGCCUACAUUGGUGAGAACAAUCACUGUGCGUCCAGGGUGAGUUAAUGAGAGAAAACUGUAGAAAUGAUUUGUUGAUUUGUGUUUUGCUUUUCUCACAGGACAUGUUUUGUUGCUUUAGUAAGUUUUGAUAAAUUUUUGCCUGAAAAAAUAAGCUAAAUGGAGACAAACACAAGCACAUCGCACUAGUUAAUCCAAUGACGUUUGAUGAACACACCAAAAGCAAUCAGAAGUGCAAAGACAAUGAAUUCGUUAAAUAUUUACAUUUAUUUCAAACGAUGUGCUUAGACAUGAAUAAAAAAAAGUGAUUCACUAGAAUACAACGAGUGCACGGACAUAACUCAGCACGUUCCUUUAGUGGUGAAAAUAAUUUGAUCAGGUGUUAUCGAUCUGAAGUGCUGGGUUUGAUUGGAAUUGUCUUCGUGGCUUUCAAAGACAAAUGCAGCGACGCUGGGAGACAGUUUCCCAUGGAUGCAAAGCAGAUUAGAGAGUAGCUGUGCGGAACUAUCAGUCGGUGGCUGUCUGUGAUCUCUUGAUUACACCUUGAUUACACCUUCAUUAUUCAGGACCGAGCUGCUACAGAGAAACCUCUACAAUUUGCGAGGAACGUUCGUCCACAAAGACGCUGCCCGCCAAAUGAGAAGCGACAGUUUGGGACGUAUCCAAAAUCAUUGCAGUUCCUUCGCCAUUUGCACUUUGCAACCUGUUGCGGAACCAUCGUCUACCCAGAUGUCGAUAAAUUCUUGAUGUGUCUUGUGUGAAUCCUGUGAAAAUGUAUUCUGAAACGAGUGCCCUAGGAUGAGUGAUGAUCCGUUCACCUCAGAAUGUCAUCAUAAGAUUGGGCGAAUGACAAGUGUGAUAUAUGCCUCAACAGAAGAUCUCUUGAUGAUAUAGGAAAGACUAAAAAUUUCUCACAGCUCCCGUGACGGAUGUAUAAAUAUCUAAAGCAGUUUUAAUGUGCAAAACAAAUUUCCCUAACAGGUUUUGAAAAUUUCUUGGUGUGUUUGUGGAUAAGCAUCGAUUUAUAGACGUUUUGGAGAUUUUUUUUUCAUGGACAAAUUUGGCGAUUACUUUACAAUUUGUUUCAGGGCGCAUCGUUUGAGAUCUUUUUCAUCAGACUCGUCUAAUCCAAACUGAAAACAGUCGACGCCACCUUUUGCCCGUCUCUGUUACUUUAUACAUGAAUUGGUGUGUAUUCCAAAGGCUCUACCCAGUCAAAUCAUCUGCUCUGUUUACUUAGCCCUGGCAUCUGGGAGUGCAAUAAGACUUUCGUGUGCAUCAGAUUUCAAGCUUGCUUUGGCUUGAUAAGCUAAAUUUGAAGCUUUUGUUGUGUUUGCCUUGUGCAAAAUAAUUUUGACUAGUAUUUCUGUAAGUUUACAUUCAUAUACACGGUUCAGCUCAAGAACUGAGAAUACGUACGUCGAGUAGUAAGUGACAUUUCACCUUCUCAUUUCUAUAGUUGUGUUAAUUUGGCAUUCUGGUUCAUAUAAACCCAAAAUAUCGAAGUGAAAUGUAAAGGUGGACUGCCAGUACACAUCCUCCAUGUACCACCACCACCACCAACCCAGGCCUCUGGCCGAUGCAGAGGCGUAUCAUCAGUUUAUGAGCCACAACAAGCACUUGCUGCUACAGAUCAAGAUGUCGGUCAUUUUCUUCAUCGGCGGCGUGGUCAUUGUGGUGUGUGUCGUCUACAUUCUGUUUCAGUGCAGGACUAAAGUGGUUAAACCACUCAUCAAACAUUCUAAAAACAGAAGAGUUCCUAAUGAGGAGAAAAAGGAACUCUUUGGCUCUACGGAUACUCUGGAGAACCUGCUGCCUUCCGAGAAAAACUCUUUACCGUUGAAAAUCAGGAAAGACACGGAGUUUUAUGUAUGAAGAU